rnacentral:rRNA from 1 species
UACAGAGGGGGCAAGCGUUGUUCGGAAUUACUGGGCGUAAAGGGCGCGUAGGCGGCCUGUUAAGUCGAACGUGAAAUCCCCGGGCUCAACCCGGGAACUGCGUCCGAUACUGGCAGGCUUGAAUCCGGGAGAGGGAUGCGGAAUUCCAGGUGUAGCGGAGUGAAAUGCGUAGAUAUCUGGAGGAACACCGGUGGCGAAGGCGGCAUCCUGGACCGGCAUUGACGCUGAGGCGCGAAAGCCAGGGGAGCAAACGGG